UGUAAGCGUAUACCAAAGUUGUUGCAGUUAAAACGCUCGUAGUCGGAAUUUGGCAGUUCCGGAUGUGUGCACGUCGUGUGCGCACUUCGCGGGGAUUGCUUUUGUGGUCUUGCGUAGGAUGAGGCACUUUUAUUAGUGAACGUCCUCACGCAACCACUUUUUACUGUGAGAAAAUCAGAGUGCUCAAAGCAGGCAUUUGCCGUGAAUGUAUUAGCAUGGAAUAAUAGAAUAGGACUUGGUUCUAUUUUGUUGGUUUGUUGGGACUGAGUAAUGAUUAAGAGGGACAGUUGGGGGCAUUUGUAUUUCGGUGCUAGAGGUGAAAUUCUUAGAUUACCGAAAGACAAACUGCUGCGAAAGCGUCUGCCAAGGAUGUUUUCUUUGA
rnacentral:rRNA from 1 species